rnacentral:rRNA from 1 species
GAUGAACGCUGGCGGCGUGCCUAAUACAUGCAAGUCGAGCGAACAGACGAGGAGCUUGCUCCUUUGACGUUAGCGGCGGACGGGUGAGUAACACGUGGGUAACCUCCCUAUAAGACUGGGAUAACUUCGGGAAACCGGAGCUAAUACCGGAUAAUAUUUCGAACCGCAUGGUUCGAUAGUGAAAGAUGGCUUUGCUAUCACUUAUAGAUGGACCUGCGCCGUAUUAGCUAGUUGGUAAGGUAACGGCUUACCAAGGCAACGAUACGUAGCCGACCUGAGAGGGUGAUCGGCCACACUGGAACUGAGACACGGUCCAGACUCCUACGGGAGGCAGCAGUAGGGAAUCUUCCGCAAUGGGCGAAAGCCUGACGGAGCAACGCCGCGUGAGUGAUGAAGGUCUUCGGAUCGUAAAACUCUGUUAUUAGGGAAGAACAAACGUGUAAGUAACUGUGCACGUCUUGAUGGUACCUAAUCAGAAAGCCACGGCUAACUACGUG